AGUGAACGCUGGCGGUAGGCCUAACACAUGCAAGUCGAACGGCAGCACAGUAAGAGCUUGCUCUUACGGGUGGCGAGUGGCGGACGGGUGAGGAAUACAUCGGAAUCUACUUUUUCGUGGGGGAUAACGUAGGGAAACUUACGCUAAUACCGCAUACGACCUACGGGUGAAAGCAGGGGAUCUUCGGACCUUGCGCGAUUGAAUGAGCCGAUGUCGGAUUAGCUAGUUGGCGGGGUAAAGGCCCACCAAGGCGACGAUCCGUAGCUGGUCUGAGAGGAUGAUCAGCCACACUGGAAAUGAGACACGGUCCAGACUCCUACGGGAGGCAGCAGUGGGGAAUAUUGGACAAUGGGCGCAAGCCUGAUCCAGCCAUACCGCGUGGGUGAAGAAGGCCUUCGGGUUGUAAAGCCCUUUUGUUGGGAAAGAAAAGCAGCAGGUUAAUACCCCGCUGCUCUGACGGUACCCAAAGAAUAAGCACCGGCUAACUUCGU
rnacentral:rRNA from 1 species